UACGUAGGGUGCAAGCGUUGUCCGGAAUUAUUGGGCGUAAAGAGCUCGUAGGCGGUCUGUCGCGUCUGCUGUGAAAACUCAGGGCUUAACCCUGAGCUUGCAGUGGGUACGGGCAGACUAGAGUGCGGUAGGGGAGACUGGAAUUCCUGGUGUAGCGGUGAAAUGCGCAGAUAUCAGGAGGAACACCGGUGGCGAAGGCGGGUCUCUGGGCCGUAACUGACGCUGAGGCGCGAAAGCCAAGGGAGCAAACAGG
rnacentral:rRNA from 1 species